AUUUUAUUAUCUACGCAAACUACGAACUGUCGGUUGCUAAGUAUUUUGUUGACAAGGUCGUUUUACAUGGAAUUACUUUCAAGAAUUUGAGGAGUAAGCGAGUUUAUCAUACCGUGUCGUACGCCGUAGUGAGGUUAAUGAAUGUAGCCGUAAUUUUCUAGUCUAGUUUUCUCAAUAGGAACUAAGCUUUUCUGCUGGAGUGAUUGAAGUCUAGUUCUUCAACUGUACUUAUCUAUCGUUUGUGGCG